GACGGGUGAGUAACGCGUGAGCAACCUGCCUUUCAGAGGGGGAUAACGUUUGGAAACGAACGCUAAUACCGCAUGACAUUAUCUUAUCGCAUGGUAGGAUAAUCAAAGGAGCAAUCCGCUGAAAGAUGGGCUCGCGUCCGAUUAGGUAGUUGGUGGGGUAACGGCCCACCAAGCCGACGAUCGGUAGCCGGACUGAGAGGUUGGACGGCCACAUUGGGACUGAGACACGGCCCAGACUCCUACGGGAGGCAGCAGUAAGGGAUAUUGGUCAAUGGGGGAAACCCUGAACCAGCAACGCCGCGUGAGGGAAGACGGUUUUCGGAUUGUAAACCUCUGUCCUCUGUGAAGAUGAUGACGGUAGCAGAGGAGGAAGCUCCGGCUAACUACGUGCCAGCAGCCGCGGUAAUACGUAGGGAGCGAGCGUUGUCCGGAUUUACUGGGUGUAAAGGGUGCGUAGGCGGCUUGGCAAGUCAGUAGUGAAAUCCAUGGGCUUAACCCAUGAACUGCUAUUGAAACUGUCGAGCUUGAGUGAAGUAGAGGUAGGCGGAAUUCCCGGUGUAGCGGUGAAAUGCGUAGAGAUCGGGAGGAACACCAGUGGCGAAGGCGGCCUACUGGGCUUUAACAGACGCUGAGGCACGAAAGCGUGGGUAGCAAACAGGAUUAGAUACCCUGGUAGUCCACGCUGUAAACGAUGAUUACUAGGUGUGGGUGGACUGACCCCAUCCGUGCCGGAGUUAACACAAUAAGUAAUCCACCUGGGGAGUACGGCCGCAAGGCUGAAACUCAAAGGAAUUGACGGGGGCCCGCACAAGCAGUGGAGUAUGUGGAUUAAUUCGAUGCA
rnacentral:rRNA from 1 species